rnacentral:rRNA from 1 species
UGGGGAAUAUUGCACAAUGGGCGAAAGCCUGAUGCAGCAACGCCGCGUGAGUGAUGAAGGUCUUCGGAUUGUAAAGCUCUGUCUUUUGGGACGAUAAUGACGGUACCAAAGGAGGAAGCCACGGCUAACUACGUGCCAGCAGCCGCGGUAAUACGUAGGUGGCGAGCGUUGUCCGGAUUUACUGGGCGUAAAGGGUGCGUAGGCGGAUGUUUAAGUGAGAUGUGAAAUACCCGGGCUUAACUUGGGUGCUGCAUUUCAAACUGGAUAUCUAGAGUGCAGGAGAGGAGAAUGGAAUUCCUAGUGUAGCGGUGAAAUGCGUAGAGAUUAGGAAGAACACCAGUGGCGAAGGCGAUUCUCUGGACUGUAACUGACGCUGAGGCACGAAAGCGUGGGUAGCAAACAGGAUUAGAUACCCUGGUAGUCCACGCCGUAAACGAUGAGUACUAGGUGUAGGAGGUAUCGACCCCUUCUGUGCCGC